CAGCAGUCGCCGCGGGAAUACGAAGGGGGCUAGCGUUGUUCGGAUUUACUGGGCGUAAAGCGCACGUAGGCGGACUUUUAAGUCAGGGGUGAAAUCCCGGGGCUCAACCCCGGAACUGCCUUUGAUACUGGAAGUCUUGAGUAUGGUAGAGGUGAGUGGAAUUCCGAGUGUAGAGGUGAAAUUCGUAGAUAUUCGGAGGAACACCAGUGGCGAAGGCGGCUCACUGGACCAUUACUGACGCUGAGGUGCGAAAGCGUGGGGAGCAAACAGGAUUAGAUACCCGCGUAGUCCCUGUCUCUUAUAC
rnacentral:rRNA from 1 species